AGGAAGAGGUUUCUGAGCUCAGCUGUGCUUCCUGUGCUGAGUACUGAGAACAGACAGGACCCAGCAUGACAGGCUGUGCCCUCAGUGUGUAGUUCUCUCCACAUUUCAUGGCAAUUUUCCCCCAAGUAAAAGUUGGAACUGAUUUCAUUUAUUUUUUUCAGCGGACUGUGAUUCUUUGAGUCAAAACGUAUGUGCUGAAGCUACGCCAAGUGGGUUCCAGUUAUAUUUGGGUUACGCCACAAAAGCCAAAGAAUGUGGACUUGAUGAGAAGACAAGAGACCUUAUAAUUCAGCUUCUUAUCUCUGAGCACCUCUAACAGUUCCCGGCAUCUAUACCAGAACACCAACUUCAACUCAGAGACAAAUGACCAAGUACCUACAUAAAAGGAAAAAGGAGAGAGAAAAAAGGAAAAAGAAGAAGACAGGGCAGAGAGGUAAAGAGGCAUUAAUAAAUGAAGAAACCAAAGCUGAGAGUGACUGAGUCCGGAUCUCACGGCAGCGAGUGGCAGAGCUGGAAUUCAAAUGAAAGUCUGUGUAGCUUCGGAGCCGAGGUUCUCCCAAGCACAUAGCACACACUAAUAAUGCUUACUGUAUUAGCUACUGAAAAAGAUAUUUAGUGAAAGUGUACAUUUUAAAGUUAUGUAAUUUACAAGUUGGCAUCAUACUCUCUGUUCCUCAGCUCUUAAAAGGUGGGUUGGGGGGUCUAAGGUAAUGAAAACCAAACCUAAUACAAACACGGGGCUCCCAUAUCAUAUCCCUUACCGACCCUGAGGAGAAUUAUGGCACAUAAUAGACCCUUCUGUUCUACUUUUUUCUCCAUCUGGUCAGCUCUCAAAGGAAAACAAAAUUCAUAUGAUCAUUGAGGUGCAGAUAUUAACUUUUAUUUUAAAUCUGUCAAGAACUCCUGGUAGUUAUUAAUUUUAUUAAAAUGAUUACAUAUGGCAAAAUAAAGAAUAGAGGUAAUUCUAUUUCUCUACAACAUAAAUUAUGAGUUAGAUUCUCAGCAGCUGGCUCAGCAUUGUUCAAGAUAUUUUUUAAAGGAUUGGGGGGGACUUUCAUUUCCAGAAAAUGUUAAAGCAGCAAAAGAAAAAAUAAGUUAAAAGUAACUGCAAUUUGAGAUAUUGUCAAGGAUGUGCUAAUUAUAAAAUCUUCUUGAUGUGUUUAUAGGCCAGACUCCAAGCUUUUGUAUUAAAAAAAAAACAUGUGCA